GGUAAUUCUAGAGCUAAUACAUGCGAAAAAACCCGACUUCUCGGAAGGGUUGUAUUUAUUAGAUAAAGAACCAGUAUUUUUGGUGACUCAUAAUAACUUUACGGAUCACAUUAUGUGACAUAUCAUUCAAGUUUCUGACCUAUCAGCUUUAGACGGUAGGGUAUUGGCCUACCGUGGCUAUGACGGGUAACGGGGAAUUAGGGUUCGAUUCCGGAGAGGGAGCCUGAGAAACGGCUACCACAUCUAAGGAAGGCAGCAGGCGCGCAAAUUACCCAAUCCUAAUACAGGGAGGUAGUGACAAGAAAUAACAAUACAGAACCUUACGGUUUUGUAAUUGGAAUGAGUUAAGUAUAAACCCCUUAACAAGUAUCAAUUGGAGGGCAAGUCUGGUGCCAGCAGCCGCGGUAAUUCCAGCUCCAAUAGCGUAUAUUAAAGUUGUUGCAGUUAAAAAGCUCGUAGUUAAUCUUCUGUUAAUUUUUAUAUAUAAUAUCACGAUAUUUAUAUAAUAUUAACAUAAUUCAUAUUACUUUUUAGUAUAUGAAACUUUACUUUGAG
rnacentral:rRNA from 1 species